rnacentral:tRNA from 1 species
GAGGGUAUAGCUCAGUGGUGGAGUGUGUGCCUAGCAUGCACUUGGUCCUGGGUUCACUCCCUGGUACCUCCA